rnacentral:lncRNA from 1 species
AUUACUAUUCCCUGUCUCAGGAAAUCACUACCACCUCUAGGACUAGGGGGACAAAAGGAAGAGAUUGGGGUUAUCAGAACCAGGAAGCUUGGAGGAGGGUCCAUGUAGAGCUGGAACACGCAUUCCUGAGGAGAGGGUGCUGGCAGCCUGAUGCAGUUGUCCCUUGAGGAACACAAUAAGCCUGAAUCUGGGAACAAUGGGACCAAAAGCUGCAGACUGGAACCAAAACCUUGGCCUUGGUGAAGGGCCAUUAUUGUGGUAACAUUUAAGAAACCAGAAAGCAAACGGGAAGGAGUAACGCCUUCUGCCCUUCCUUCAGGCUUGCAUUCUCCCUCCUGUGCUCCCUAGCUUCAGCACCUAUCAGGGAACCCACGGCAAAUGAGCCAGCUGGAAAUGUGAUUUGCAGAGUUGCAGCCCCGGCACCACAGGGCCUCACAAAGUAGAACACAGAAGUGCCAACUUGGGAGACAUAUUAUCAAGACUGAAUCAGAGAGUUGACAGCAUACCAGGAAGUGUCACUGUAUAGUUUGGAAGAUGGAAAUCAUACUACUUUUUUCCCAUUUUCACAGAUGAAGAGAGGAAUUUUGCCCCAGGAUGGACCAUACCAUGAGUCUCACCUAUUAUUGAUUUAAAUAUUUAGAUGAGAAUUUGGACUUCAUCAGAAUUAAAAACUUUUCAUUAUCAGGAAAGUGAAAAGACAACCUAUAAAAUUAGAGAAAUAUUUAUAAAUCACAAAGCUGAUAAGGAUCUAGUAUCCAGACAAUACAGUGAACUCUUAAAACCCAUCAACAAAAAGAAAACCCAAUUUUAAAAAUGGGAAAAAAGUUAAAUAGACUUAAAA